rnacentral:lncRNA from 1 species
GAAGCUUGUAUUAAAGUUAGCCACUGUGUGAAGCAGCAAUAGAGAGAAGCAGUAGCACAAGAGGCUACAGUGAGAGGAAGCAAAUGCUGUAGCUAUCUGGUGUCCACAGCUGCACAGCUCAUCCUUUUCUGGAACAACUGUCUCCGUAUCAGGUCCAGCAGCAUGAGCCUUCCCAGUAUAACACUGCAAUGCAGCAGAAGGGAAGAAGCAUUUAAACUAUCAACACACUCAGAUUUCACAGGAGCAGCACAAGUUAACUUUAUUGGUCACUGUUGAAGAAAUGACAUGGAACUGGAUGGAUCGGUGAAAAAAACCAGUAUUUCCCUUGUUAAAUAUUUAAGUUUACCUUUGUUAGAAGCACAAGCAAUGUGAUAAAUGGAAUGACUUCUUAAAUGAGCUCUGGUGAAAUUGGUAAAAGAUGCUUAUAUUUAAUUAAAUCAGAGAACAUUAUGAAGAGAUUACGUUACUGUGAAGACGUGAAAGAUAACCUCCUUUGGACCAAAAAAACAGAACACUGUUUAA